rnacentral:rRNA from 1 species
UUAUUGGGCGUAAAGCGAGCGCAGGUGGUUUAUUAAGUCUGGUGUAAAAGGCAGUGGCUCAACCAUUGUAUGCAUUGGAAACUGGUAGACUUGAGUGCAGGAGAGGAGAGUGGAAUUCCAUGUGUAGCGGUGAAAUGCGUAGAUAUAUGGAGGAACACCGGUGGCGAAAGCGGCUCUCUGGCCUGUAACUGACACUGAGGCUCGAAAGCGUGGGGAGCAAACAGGAUUAGAUACCCUGGUAGUCAAGGGCGAAUUCGC